AUUGAACGCUGGCGGCAUGCCUUACACAUGCAAGUCGAACGGUAACAGGUCUUCGGAUGCUGACGAGUGGCGAACGGGUGAGUAAUACAUCGGAACGUGCCCGAGAGUGGGGGAUAACGAGGCGAAAGCUUUGCUAAUACCGCAUACGAUCUCAGGAUGAAAGCAGGGGACCGCGAGGCCUUGCGCUCACGGAGCGGCCGAGGGCAGAUUAGGUAGUUGGUGGGAUAAAAGCUUACCAAGCCGACGAUCUGUAGCUGGUCUGAGAGGACGACCAGCCACACUGGGAGUGAGACACGGCCCAGACUCCUACGGGAGGCAGCAGUGGGGAAUUUUGGACAAUGGGCGCAAGCCUGAUCCAGCCAUGCCGCGUGCAGGAUGAAGGCCUUCGGGUUGUAAACUGCUUUUGUACGGAACGAAAAGACUCCUUCUAAUAAAGGGGGUCCAUGACGGUACCGUAAGAAUAAGCACCGGCUAACUACGUGCCAGCAGCCGCCGUAAGAC
rnacentral:rRNA from 1 species